AGCGAACGCUGGCGGCAGGCCCAACACAUGCAAGUCGAACGAAGUCUUCGGACUUAGUGGCGGACGGGUGAGUAACACGUGGGAACGUGCCUUUAGGUUGGGAAUAACUCAGGGAAACUUGUGCUAAUACCGAAUGUGCCCUUCGGGGGAAAGAUUUAUCGCCUUUAGAGCGGCCCGCGUCUGAUUGGCUAGUUGGUGAGGUAAAGGCUAACCAAGGCUACGAUCAGUAGCUGGUCUGAGAGGAUGACCAGCCACAUUGGGACUGAGACACGGCCCAAACUCCUACGGGAGGCAGCAGUGGGGAAUCUUGCGCAAUGGGCGAAAGCCUGACGCAGCCAUGCCGCGUGGAUGAUGAAGGUCUUAGGAUUGUAAAAUCCUUUCACCGGUGAAGAUAAUGACUGUAGCCGGAGAAGAAGCCCCGGCUAACUUCGUGCCAGCCGCCGCCGUAAAAC
rnacentral:rRNA from 1 species